UACAGAGGUCUCAAGCGUUGUUCGGAUUCAUUGGGCGUAAAGGGUGCGUAGGCGGAUUGUUAAGUCAGGGGUGAAAUCCCAAGGCUCAACCUUGGAACUGCCUUUGAUACUGGGGAUCUCGAGUCCGGAAGAGGUGAGUGGAACUGCGAGUGUAGAGGUGAAAUUCGUAGAUAUUCGCAAGAACACCAGUGGCGAAGGCGGCUCACUGGCCCGAUACUGACGCUGAGGCACGAAAGCGUGGGGAGCAAACAGG
rnacentral:rRNA from 1 species